CCUACGGGAGGCAGCAGUGGGGAAUAUUGGGCAAUGGGCGCAAGCCUGACCCAGCAACGCCGCGUGAAGGAAGAAGGCUCUCGGGUUGUAAACUUCUUUUAAGAGGGAAGAGCAGAAGACGGUACCUCUUGAAUAAGCCACGGCUAACUACGUGCCAGCAGCCGCGGUAAUACGUAGGUAGCAAGCGUUGUCCGGAUUUACUGGGUGUAAAGGGCGUGCAGCCGGGAAGACAAGUCAGAUGUGAAAUCCCGCGGCUCAACCGCGGAACUGCAUUUGAAACUGUUUUUCUUGAGUACCGGAGAGGUCAUCGGAAUUCGUUGUGUAGCGGUGAAAUGCGUAGAUAUAAGGAAGAACACCAGUGGCGAAGGCAGAUGACUGGACGGCAACUGACGGUGAGGCGCGAAAGCGUGGGGAGCAAACAGGAUUAGAUACCCGAGUAGUC
rnacentral:rRNA from 1 species